CUAAGUAGUGGCGCUGCAGGUA
rnacentral:miRNA from 1 species